rnacentral:ncRNA from 1 species
GAAAAUGCUAUGACAGGGAGGAGUACAUAAUUUACAGAUCCACAGAGAGAAGAUGGCUGGUGUGAAUCUUCGUGAAGUGAUUAUGGAAGUAGCCCCCGAGCAGUGAAUUGAAAGCGAAAGCAAGUAGGCUUCAACGCAGUCCCAGCGUUAGAUGGGAACGAUAUCGGAUGUAGGAGUCCUGUGUCGGCAGAGUGCAGAGACAAAAGUUUCUGAAUUUAGGUGGUAACACGGAUGAGUAAUUCGCCCUAAGC